UGGGGAAUAUUGGACAAUGGGGGGAACCCUGAUCCAGCCAUGCCGCGUGUGUGAAGAAGGCCUUAUGGUUGUAAAGCACUUUAAGCGAGGAGGAGGGUACUGGUAUUAAUACUACCAGGUACUGGACGAUACUCGCAGAAUAAGCACAGGCUAACUCUGUGCAAGCAGACGCGGGAAUACAGAGGGUGCAAGCGUUAAUCGGAAUUACUGGGCGUAAAGCGCGCGUAGGUGGGUCGUUAAGUUGAAUGGGAAAGCCCCGGGCUCAACCAGGGAACUGCGUCCCAAAAUGGCGAGCUAGAGUAGGGCAGAGGGUGGUGGAAUUUCCUGUGUAGCGGUGAAAUGCGUGGAUAUAGGAAGGAACACCAGUGGCGAAGGCGACCACCUGGGCUCAUACUGACACUGAGGUGCGAAAGCGUGGGGAGCAAACAGG
rnacentral:rRNA from 1 species